GGAAGGGCCAUCUAUGGAAUGGAGUAUUACUCAGCCAAGAAAAGAAAUGAGGCACUGAUACAUGCUACAUGGAUGCACCUCAAGACCAUGGUGCUGACAGUGACAGAAGCCAGGUAUAAAAGGCCACAUGGGAUCGAACUCGGGACCUUGUGCUUGUGAGGCACGUGGCAGAACCACUGAGCUACAUCCCGGCCCUGGUAAAUACAGCUUUAAAGAAAGUAUAAAAACUACCCAUUCAGGGGCCUUACAAAUGGUGAAUUCUUCUGGGUGAAUUUGGUGCAUGCCCCUAACCUCGGAUACUGGGGAAGCUGAGGCGGGAGGGUCUUAAGUUCAGGGCCAGCCUGGGGAACUAGCAAGAUCACGGGAAGUACUAGGAAACAAAUUUUUAAAAAAGAUGUGGAGCUGAAGAUACAGCUGGCUGGAGCAUCCUGCAGAGGCCCUUGGUUCAGAAGCACUGGAGGAAGAAGAGCCGAAGGCCGUAAUGAAGAGGAGAAUCGGCCUCGAUAGGACACCGGCCCUUUCAGUGGUGAUGCCCGUCAGGGUGGACCCUGGCCGCCUGGCUCCAAGGCCAUCCGAGGUUUCCACUUCCUCCUCCAUGACACCUGGGCUCUCCAGAGCCUCCACGCUGGACCUGGACCACCCCUGGGUGGCUUCACAGCUGGCCGGGCUGGCUCAGGGGAGCAGGUGGCAAGGCCCCUGCCUCUGGGAUCCCAUGCCAGAUGUGGGCCAGAUGGCGGCCAGGCUGUGGACAGGGCCCUCCAUGGAGUGGCCUGCAGCUCUACCAGCCCAUGGGUCCAUCCUCCUUGUACCAGGCAUGUGCAGUGAGGUCCCCACUCUGGCCCAGUCAUGGCAGCCACAGCAGUUUGGGCCGAGAGCCCUGGGGAGGGGAUCCCUGGCUUUGCUGCUGUGGCCCACAUCUCACCUGCAGCUGAUGCCCUCGAAGUUCAUCCCAGCGAGGGCCACACGGCCCCCCUUUCUCCUUUAUUUUUAUGGUACUAGGGAUGGAACCCAGGGCCUCAUAUAUGCUGGGCACAUGCUCUACCACUGCACUACAUUCCCAGCCCUUUUCAAUCUAUCUAUCUAUCUAUCUAUCUAU
rnacentral:lncRNA from 1 species